AUGGGCGCAAGCCUGAUGCAGCCAUGCCGCGUGUGUGAAGAAGGCCUUCGGGUUGUAAAGCACUUUCAGUCAGGAGGAAAGGUUAGUAGUUAAUACCUGCUAGCUGUGACGUUACUGACAGAAGAAGCACCGGCUAACUCCGUGCCAGCAGCCGCGGUAAUACGGAGGGUGCGAGCGUUAAUCGGAAUUACUGGGCGUAAAGCGUACGCAGGCGGUUUGUUAAGCGAGAUGUGAAAGCCCCGGGCUCAACCUGGGAACUGCAUUUCGAACUGGCAAACUAGAGUGUGAUAGAGGGUGGUAGAAUUUCAGGUGUAGCGGUGAAAUGCGUAGAGAUCUGAAGGAAUACCGAUGGCGAAGGCAGCCACCUGGGUCAACACUGACGCUCAUGUACGAAAGCGUGGGGAGCAAACAGGAUUAGAUACCCUGGUAGUCCACGCCGUAAACGAUGUCUACUAGAAGCUCGGAGCCUCGGCUCUGUUUUUCAAAGCUAACGCAUUAAGUAGACCGCCUGGGGAGUACGGCCGCAAGGUUAAAACUCA
rnacentral:rRNA from 1 species